rnacentral:rRNA from 1 species
GAACUUUCGGUGGGAUGAGCGCGGGUAAUGCGUAGGGUGUGAGGGUUAAUCGGAAGUACUGGGCGUAAAGCGUGGUCAGGGGGUUUGGUAAGACAGGCGUGAAAUCCCCGGGCUUAACCUGGGAACUGCGCUUGUGACUGCCAGGCUAGAGUACGGCAGAGGGGGGUGGAAUUCUACGUGUAGCAGUGAAAUGCGUAGAGAUGUGGAGGAACACCAAUGGCGAAGGCAGCCCCCUGGGUCGAUACUGACGCUCAUGCACGAAAGCGUGGGUAGCAAACAGGAUUAGAUACCCGUGUAGUC